CGCUUAGAGUGGUAAAAUUUCGAACGCAUAGCGCCGUCGGGUUCUCCCGUCGGCACGUCUGGUUCAGGGUUGUU
rnacentral:rRNA from 1 species